rnacentral:rRNA from 1 species
CGGACGGGUGAGUAAUGUCUGGGAAACUGCCCGAUGGAGGGGGAUGACUACUGGAAACGGUAGCUAAUACCGCAUAACGUCGCAAGACCAAAGAGGGGGACCUUCGGGCCUCUUGCCAUCGGAUGUGCCCAGAUGGGAUUAGCUAGUAGGUGGGGUAAAGGCUCACCUAGGCGACGAUCCCUAGCUGGUCUGAGAGGAUGACCAGCCACACUGGAACUGAGGCACGGUCCAG